rnacentral:rRNA from 1 species
UUCGCAAUGCCCGAAAGGGUGACGAAGCGACGCCGCGUGGGUGAGGAAGGCCUUCGGGUUGUAAAGCCCUGUCAGGAGUUAAGAAAUAUAAGUGCGCUAAUAUCGCAUUUAUUUGACGAAGGCUCCAAAGGAAGCCACGGCUAACUCUGUGCCAGCAGCCGCGGUAAUACAGAGGUGGCAAGCGUUGUUCGGAAUUAUUGGGCGUAAAGAGCACGUAGGUGGGUUUGUAAGUCAGAUGUGAAAGCCUUCUGUUCAACGGAAGAAUUGCAUCUGAAACUGCGAGUCUUGAGUGUAGGAGGGGAGAAUGGAACUUCUGGUGGAGCGGUGAAAUGCGUAGAUAUCAGAAGGAACGCCGGCGGCGAAAGCGAUUCUCUGGCCUAUUACUGACACUCAGUAUGCGAAAGCUAGGGGAGCAAACGGGAUUAGAUACCCCGGUAGUCCUAGCCGUAAACGAUGGGCACUAAGUAGAGGGGUUUU